GUCUACGACCAUACAACCCUGAACAUGCCCCAUCUCAUCUGAUCUCGUAAGCUAAGCAGGGUCAGGCCUGGUUAGUACUUGGAUGGGAAAAAUUCCAACAUGUACCUGUUUUCCUAGUGC
rnacentral:rRNA from 1 species